CGGGCGGGCCGUUACCUCCCGCGCAUGCUCUAUGGGGUAGAGACGCUAGGCCGGCACUGCCUAGGUGGGCCGGGCGGUGCGAGGGUCGCCUUUCAGCCUUUACCUCUACCCACUGAAAUGGAGUAGGUCGGUGAGCGCCGAUCUGCUGGAGAAUCUCAUUAUCCCAUCGGCGCUCUGCCUGCUCCUGGCCUCCAAGCCUCUGAAGCCCCUCGGGUUUCAGCUGCCGGCUACCCUCGAGCCCGUGGUGCCCACGAGAGAGGCGACUUUACGUCAGCGGCCCUGGGCUGAGAUUUGAGAACGCGACCAAGUGGAGAAUGUUGGAGCCAGAUUUUAAAAUCCUUGUCUUCCUUCUGCGUGCUACUUGAUCUAAAUGAGAUACGGCAAAGUCACAGAACCUGUUUUUAUGUUUUUGCCUGAUUCAUACGGGCUUCUCCGGUGAAGAUGGGCCUGAAGUAACGCUUGGGUUGCUUCUGACGUUAUAACUCAUCCUGUAGCUGCAGCAACCGUGGUCCUUGCAACCUCAUAAAAAUGUUGCCAGCAUUGUUUCGAUAGUGCUGCUUAAUUCUUGGAAGGUUCUUCGGACUUCACACAUUCCAGCAGUAGCUCUCUCAGCUCCUGUCCUGCACAGCUUUGAAGUGCUGGUGAUGUCAUUGAACUCUUAAGUGCAAGAUGAAACAAGUCUUUCUGGGGUUCUAAGUAGCGUCUUCAAAGUGUCUUCUGUAAAGACUUCUUCAGACUGUCAAUAGGAAGACUGAUAAACUCAGUUCAGAUGCGAGAGGAAAUCGAGUCAUCAUCAAUGGCACCUCAUGUUAGCCUGCCAUGGCAACAAGCUCAUUGAUUGAGUAAAAGAACUUUCAGAUGCACUAGCUGGUCUUUAACGGGUUGCUGAAAGCACAGAUAAGACGACUGAGGGAGCCGACUGAAUUUCCAUGGAUAUAUACAAAGGGAAUGGAAAAUCACAGUACGAUUUUUCAUUGGCUCCUGAUAGAGCUAGGUCCUUGUAUAAUUCUAAAACUGGUGUAUAAAACAAUGUCCACGCCAUUCAUUUUGGUUAUAACUAUUAAGGGGAAGGGAGAUGAUGUCUGUGGAAUUGCAAAGUAGUUUGCACUAGAAUUUUCUAUUACAUAUGCUCUAAUAGGAGUAUUUUCCUCUGUUACAUUAUGACUUAUGUAAUAAUAAUAGCUAAGGAUUACUGAGGGUUUUUAUUUUCUUUUCUGCAUGAUCUUGACCGUUUUUCGAAACAGUCCUUGUUGCUGGAUACUAUUUAUGUCACCAUUUUACAAAUGAGAAUGCCAAAGUUCAGAGUGACAUCCAUCUAAAAGAGGCCAGUUUCAGCCUUGAACCCAUUAUACUCUAAUCCCAUUUUCAAAGUAACUCUUGGUUUUCUCAAAAGGCCUUUAAAUGUAUGGAUAAGCCAAUAUGAGGGCAGCAAUGUUGUGGUUAAGUGUGUGCACUUUGGUUGGACUCUGCCGAAGGCCAGCACCACCAUUUAGUAGCUAUGUGAACCAGUGAGUUACUUAAAACCUAUACCUCCACUUCCUCAUCUGCAAAAUGGGGUUGUGGUAAGGCUGGAAUAAGUUAAUGCAUGUAGCAUGUUGAGAAGGCACUGUCUAAGCGCAUGGCACAUGGUAAGCAUGUAGGAAACAGCAACACAUGCCUGGGUCUGAGUUCUGCUCUGUCAUGAUGAUUGGUGCCCAACGGGAAAAGCUCUUCCGCACCAGCGUUUUACAAGCCUAGCUCCUCCUUUUCCAAAACAAGUUCCCAGGCCAUGGUCAAUAUCAACAUUCAGGGGAAAUACAUUCUGUUCAUUGUAGAUAUGACAGUGAGAAUAUUUGCUGAAUAACAAUUAAGCUAUCUGAUUGCGUAAUAGUUAAAAGGUUUGUUUUUACCAUCUGUGAAUUAAAGCCAAAAAUAACAACCAAUUCAUAGAAUAUUGUGACGGUUAUAGGAGAUGCAGCUUGUCAGCUGCUCAGCUCAGCGGCCUGGGCAUGAUUAGAAUUCCACACAUAAUAGUGAUUACCAUCAGUAUUAUUAUUAUUAAGGCAACACAGUGAUCGUAGUAAUGGUAAAACAGAGAGAUCUACCUAAUCCAAAAUUCUAUUCAACAAGGGAGUUUCUACAUAUAGCCACUAUGGUUUCUAAUUUUCAAAGAAUCAGCAUAUAAUAAAAUGCUCUCAAUAAUAAAGCUGAACUGAAUAUAUUAUAAUAACUUAAUGAGGCAGAAGACAUUUGAGAUGCCUCAAUUAUCAAUGUGUUUCACAGAUUCAAAAGUGUAACUUUAUACAUUUAUUCAAUAGAUAAAACACUGACUAGGUCCGCUUAAAGUUGAAAUAGAUUUUUGGAUUCUCUCAAAGUAUAGGGCAAUAACAAAUAUAGAAGUUUUCUGAAAAAAAAUAAGCAAAAUAGAAAUAGUACUAUUAUUAGUUUUAAAAUAUUAUAAAAGAAUUUUAAAUGAGACAAAAAUAAUAUGAUGGCAAUAUAUGGCCUUUUACAAAGAGAGGAACUGAGGCAGGGAGGAGAAAUAAUUCUAGAAUGACAUGCUGGUUAGAGGUAUGAUGUGUCGGACCACAAGAAUGAUGUGAUUCUGACUUUUCCUUUAUUUACAAAUCACUUUGGAUAAACCGAUGGCUCUUGCUGAGCCCCUGGGUUGGUGGAGGAGUAACAUGCCUGGGAGUCGAGCAUCCUAAGACGUGCACCCUGAGGACUGCAGGAAAAGUGCAGAAAUUAGGUAGAAAUAGGGCUUGUUUAGCAUUCAUGAUGGCUAGGUGUCUUACUGCAGGUGUCUUAAGAAACUACCCAGUAACUCACUGAACCAGCAACUCUGUGCAUGGCCUCCUGAGAGGUGAGGGACACAAAGAUUUUAUCAAGAGUGAAGCAUGUGUCUGUGUUCAAGUAUCUUGCAAAAUGAAGACAAAAGAAGUAGUUUGCAAUUAGCUCUUAGUUCCUACCUUUCAAAGAAGCAUCCGCCAGUCAGGUGAGAUGAAACUGACCAUGAAGAGAAGCUUGUAUCUGUAUAAAAUGCAAACCUGUUUGGACAGCGGAAUGGGGUUUGCUUCAAACUUCAGGGUGCAUUUAUAUAAAGCAACAGAGAGUGCACUUUCUAAUAAAAAUAAAAUGAAGCUCAAAUGGCACAAGAGUCUCCUUAUAUUUAAAAUGGUUCUCGUAAAGUAACAUUUUGAUGAUUUAAAU
rnacentral:lncRNA from 1 species